CCUCCAUGGAUGCUCCACGUAACUCUACCAAUUAAGGUACUUUGGUGGCAAGUGGUUUUCCUAUGGUAAAAGGUCUCCUGAAGGACACCUUGCUGGGAAGGUCUUCUCUCUGACAUCCACUCAUGAAGCUCUACGACUUCCUAAGGAAGUUUGCAACAAUCCAGAAUGCCACAGCACAAAUUCUGUGACGACGUAUUACCAUCAUCAAUAAUAAUUAUCAGAAAUCAUGAUAAUUACCAGCAAAGCUGCCUGCUGCGGAUAAUGACAUCCAUCUAAGAAGGAUAACUGUGCAUGCUGAGGCUUGUCUGCUUGAGAGGAGUCCACCCGUUCACUCUGGAAGGUGGAAAAUGUCCAAUGCAAGGCUCUGUGAUGCUCCAGCUUACAGCAGAUUGAUGUCAGUGCAGCUCCUCUGGCAGCAGCAGGAUUGCUCUUCUGCACCAGGAUCGGGGCCAGGUUCUCUGCAGGGGAAAAGAGACAAGAAGCAAGCUGAACUGUUUGCAUUUGUGUCUUUGCCUCACGCUGUGCCCUGGUUAAAGCAAGGCAGCAGAGGGAUGCUUCUCCCUUCCAGGGAGAAGGCCUGAUGAGGGCAGUAAGAAUUGCUCAUGGCUACAUCCUUCAUGUGGGCAUCUCACAGCAGACACUUCUCAGUUGAACACUCGCUCCUGGCGGGCAGGUAGGGAUGCUGUCCCCAUGCUUCAAGUGCACAGAGGCCCAUGUGGAACAGCUGGAGAAGCUGGGAAUACAGGCAAGAAAGGCCAACUUCAUAGGUCACAAACCACAGCAGCGAGGCCAGUCAAGCUGGUCAUUCUGAUGAAUGAGUUCACACACAGCCCCAUAAGCUUAGCUUAGCAACACCCGAGUACAAAAGGGAGCGAGCUCCCACAGCCUGACCCAGAACUGCCCAGUGACCAUUCCACUGACUGCACAGGCUUCACCCCCAGCAGGCUGCAAGCAGAGCCCACCAGAACCGGACCCAUGGGAGCAAGCAGGAGGCCCUGCUGUCUUAUCCUGCACCAGGAAUCCAUUCUCAGAGGAUUAAUUAUUUGUACUGUUAAGCAAACACGAGCGCCUGUGGUGCAGGCUGAGUAGGGCUGCUCCUAAUCGAAAACAGCCUGCUUGUUUAUUUCUAGCUUUUUUUCCCCCCAUUGUCUAUUUUGGUGCUUAAAAAAAGCAAAGCUGGGAGCUGCGUGGCCAUGCUCUCCCUGCAGCAGCCUGCAAGCCCCCAUCAGCCAGGAAGGAACAGCAGAGACGCUGUGCACUCCCAGAUCUCUCCUGUGCAAGGACUGCACGGCCAGACAGGUUACAGGGGAGAGUUAUUAAAACCAUCUGAACUCGAGCAAUGCUGGGCAGCCUGUAAUGUUAUUUUUGUUAAUGUAGCUGCUUAUAGGCCCCAGUUUUUCUUUCUUUUCUGUUUUUGGCACAGGACCGACCACAUACCUAAUGCUUGAACAAAAGUGGGAAUACUGGAGGAUUAGGAAUACCUCAAUUUAUGGCAGGAUUAGCUGGAGUUUUAUCCUGCCUGACAAAGAACUAAAAUGCACAAUCAAGAAGGCAUUCCAACCCCAUUAUCUCCUACUCCUGAUGUAAAGAAUGCAGAAAGAUCACACCCAAAAGAAGAGUUUAUGCCAUCCAUUUGAGGCAUCUCAGUCUGUGACCAGAAAUCAGCAUGUUAGUUGAAUAAUGCUACAGCAAAAAUAAUAGUAAUUCUAUAAGAACUAGACAAAAAAAUCACUUCUUCUCUUGCUUAUAUCACUUCUGCAUAAAACAAAGCUAAUGAAAAGAGAACCAAGCCCAAAGAAAAUAUUUGGUUAGAUCUCAUUCCUCUGCCAAAGAAAUUUACUGCUGAGCUUAAUGGAGUAGGACCAGCACCAGAAAUACCUGCGUCCUCCACGCAGCCCUAUCACUCAGGGCUCUGUUUGGAUGUUGGCUGAGAAAUCAGCGUGUCUGUGACCAGAACAAACCAUCCAGGUGUUAAUCCAGCACACGUUUCCUAGGGCAUGCUUCAGCUUCCUUGCUCCUGAGCAGGGACAUCGGCUGCAUGCGCCUCCUGGGGCUCUGGGGGACCGGUGGCUCUCGGAGGGGGGACAGGGACAGAAGCUGGGCUGGAGCCAGGCAAGAACAACGGACAGAGCCCAGGGAAGGGGAGGAUGGGGAAGAACUGGGAGGUGAUUUUUAUAUGGGGAGGUUCUCAGCACCGCUGCAAGCCACACACGUGCACAGUCAAAGGAUUUUCUCUUAGAAUUCCAUCUUUUUCAGUCUUUGCUCCUACGCUGGUCUGGACAUUUUAAACACACAGAUCUUGCAAUCCAGAGGAAUGGGGGGAGGACCAACAGUGCUAUUUUUUGCAGUAAACACUCGCUCACUGCAAGCCUGCGUAAACACAUUCGAGAAGUGCUGCUGGAGCAGAAUAAAGCCUUGCUCCCCUCCCCAGGCCCAAAGCUUGUCUGGAGCAGCUCCAGCUCAGCCCCCCCUGCUCUGCCCAUGGCUGCUGGGGCAGCAGUGGGACCCCCAUGGGCAGCCGCCCACCACAGCUGGCAGCCACAGGCACGGCCAUGGAGUCAGCAGCAGUCCCAGAUAGCAUAGGGCAGGGACGAGGGGGAAGGCAGCUUCCUGGAACAAGACUCAGGGAUGGUGGGGAAUGAUGGGGAGGCUUUGCCAUCUCCCCCCUCCCUUUUCUCUUUUCAGCAAACCAGCACAGUCC
rnacentral:lncRNA from 1 species